CUUGUUUUUCUUCUUUUACAAAGAAACAUGUAGUGAAGGAUCCAUUGUGGACCUGAUCCAGGUCCUCCAGUCCAGAGGUUUCCGCUGGACUUGCACAGACAAGGACCAGACCCUGAUGAUCCUUCAGUGUAUCCAGAACCCCCAACAGUCCUCCUGCCAAACAUGUGCCAACAGCCUCUCACACAGAAAGAGCCUCACAUUUCAGUGAAUAGCAUGUAUUCUGAUAUUGAUAUUUGAAGGUGGCUACAAUUAAACUGGCUGCUCAAAAGAU